GACGAACGCUGGCGGCGUGCUUAACACAUGCAAGUCGAACGGAAAGGCCCUGCUUGCUGGGUACUCGAGUGGCGAACGGGUGAGUAACACGUGUGUGAUCUGCCCUGCACUUCGGGAUAAGCCUGGGAAACUGGGUCUAAUACCGGAUAGGAGCCAUUUUUAGUGUGAUGGUUGGAAAGUUUUUUCGGUGUAGGAUGAGCUCGCGGCCUAUCAGCUUGUUGGUGGGGUAAUGGCCUACCAAGGCGGCGACGGGUAGCCGGCCUGGGAGGGUGGACGGCCACAGUGGGACUGAGACACGGCCCAGACCCCUACGGGAGGCAGAAGUGGGGAAGAUUGCACAAGGGGCGCAAGCCUGAUGCAGAGACGCCGCGGGGGGGAUGACGGUCUUCGGGUUGGAAACUCCUUUCGCUAGGGACGAAGCUGUUUGUGACGGUACCUAGAUAAGAAGCACCGGCUAACUACGUG
rnacentral:rRNA from 1 species